rnacentral:lncRNA from 1 species
UGACUUGCAAGUGACAUUCUGACUCCAGAGUGCACAUAUUUUCUGUAUAUUGUUUCUUACCAAUGUAGCUACAUUUUACUGCUGCCACUUUUUCUGGGACAGGUCUAGAUUUGGGGGUGCAUGUCUUCUACUUCUCAAAAUGUAUUGCUGAGCUUCUCUAGUGUGUCAAUCAUUGUAUUAAUUUUCAGCAUUGACAAUUGUAAACCUAAAUCAUACCCUCCUGCUUCAUGAGGAGCCGAAGGAAAGCUUUACCUUCAACUUCUGAAGAUGUGUUAAAAGUCACUGACAAGAGUCAAAUUAAUAACAGAAAAGGCAUACAAAUUUAAUUGAUCAUAGUUUUACAUAACACAGGAGCCUUCAGAAUGAAGAUCCAAAGAUACAGAGGAAUUGUACAUUUUAAUGCUUAGGGUCGACAAAAUAUGGACAGCCAUGUACAAAUACGAUUGGGCAAAAAGAGAAUGAUCUACUGCCAAUAGAGUUGGGAAACCCAGCAAGGCCUGUCUGUCUAGACUCCUCUUGGCCUCACUGCGCAGCAUUCGUUCCUCCUUGGUGUGUGGCAGGACCCUCUAUGGAAAGAGGGUGUUAUGACCUACAAUUAAAAAAGACUUGGAGCUAAAGCAGCUGUCAACCUGGAAGUACCAAUGGACACUGACAAAACAAUAAACAAAUCUCCAACAAAAGCCUGUUCUCUCUAGCCAAAAAUCCAAGACAGUCUUGAGAAGACUAGUAAGACAGAAAACUUUUAGACAAUAACAGCUCUACUCCAGCCAGCCACAACAACAAUAACAAAAAAACUGUGGCUCUACCCCACCCAUGGCAAAAGCCAAGUGGGGAAGCCAAGCUUUCCACUCAUGCCUGACUGUGACAAGGCACUCACCCUUCCUUCCAGGGUAACGUCUGGGAAAGCUGAGUAAGGAAUUGGUAGUUUCAUUCUCACUGGGUGGUAAGGAGUCCACCUUACUGUUAGCAGAGUCCACAUGACUUUAGUAGUGUUGGUAGUUGUGGUGGUAUUAUUAGUAGAGGCCAUUUAGGGAGCCAUGACAAGGCACUCAUAUCCAUCGCAGUCAGUGAGUUACCAGCAGACACCUCGUGUGGAGUUGGAAGUCCCAACCCUAGCAGUUGGAGACAGACUCCCUGCUACAACUUGAGAGUCAACAGAGGCCAAAUAAGGAACCUGGAGACCUGGGCAUUUAUCCCACAGAAACGGAACUUAUACCCACCCAAAAGGUUACCCAAAAAUAUGUGUAGUAGUUUUAAUUAUAGUAGUCAGUAACUGGAAACAAUCCAGAUGUCCUUCAAAAAGUGAAUGGUUAAGCAAACUGUGGUACUUCCAUUUCUUGGGAAAUUACUCAGUAAUUUAAAAAAAAUUGUUAAUGCAACAACCUAGAUGACUAUUCAGAGAUUUGUGCUGAGUGAAAAAAGCAAUCCCAAAAGGUUGUAUCUUGUAAUUCCAUUUAUGUAUUUUUCCUGAAAUGACAAAACUGCAGAAAUGUAGAACAAAUUAGUGGCUGCCAGGUGUUAAGGAGAAGGUGAAGAUAAGAGAAAAAUGUGUGCAGCUAUAAAAGUGCAACAUGAGGGAUCCUUGUGGUAGUGAAACUAUUCGGUAUCUUGCUUAUAUCAAUGUCAGCAUGUUACUUGUGAUUUUGUGGUGUUUGAUUUUUUUGGCGUUGUUAUAGUUUUUCCAUUGGUGGAUAUUGGGUGAAUAGCCCAUGAGAUAUAUCUGUAUUAUUUCUUCCAACUGCAUGUGAAUCUACAAUUAUCUAAAAAUUAAAAUUUUAAUUAAAAAUGGAGCUAAUUGGGUGUUUUUUCUAUUUUUCAAAAAGUAUCAUUAUAGGUAUUGAUUAGAAGUUAGAACCUGGAGGAGGACCAAAUAGGAGACCAAAAUUAAAUUAUCA